GGUGCCUUUGUGUCUGAGCUCACAGACAGUCCUCGCUGCCCUGAGGACGAGGAGAAGUAGCGCUCCUGCUAAAUCCUACACGUUGCCUUGUGUUCGGGGUGAUUUUGCGAGCCCGGCCGUGCCACUUCUGCCCCUAAAUUCCUCGGGCUUCUAACAGCUCUGACCCGAAAUAUGUAAGUGAUGGCGCUGGGGACUGCACGAGCUGACAGAAUCGGGCUCGUGAGGAUUUUCGGUCUACUUCUGACAACCGACGGCGGCUUGUCGGAUCACUUCCUCGCCGUGCCUCCCCUUCCCUUGGAGUCCCAUUCCCAAAAGACUCGGGCACGUUUGCAUCUGGUUUCCCAAAGCUCUAAGGAGGAGGCACGGCCCUGCUCUGUCCCCUGGGGACGGCUCGGUGACGGGCGCUGGCGCUGCGGUGCGAAACCCUCCGUCUGCCUUCGCGAGCUGCUCGAACCUGCGCAGUGGCUGCUAAAUAUAACCCUGCUUAUCUGCAGGCUGCAGGAGAUUUCGCAGCCUCUCCCUGCGCAGGGGACGCCGAUGGCAACUCUGCUCUUUGUAGCCCUGCUUGCUGAGACCCAAAUCCCCGAUGUUCCUUCUCCAAGCUGCUCCCCUGCGCCUAACGGGUGCCGGGAGCUCUGCGCGCUGGCUCCUCAGCAGGGAGCAACUGAAGCCACGGAGCCGAGUGUGCUCCGGGGUCAUCCCUGCCUUGUGCUCCUUUUACUUUGUCACCGAUCCAGAGCUUGCCCAGGGCAGAGGGAUGCCUGAUGCCUUGGUCGCUGCAGCAAGCGGCUGUCCUCUAAUAAAAGCACCUGCUUGGAGAGCAGGGAUCACUUC